rnacentral:rRNA from 1 species
CAGUCGCCGCGGUAAUACGAAGGGGGCUAGCGUUGCUCGGAAUGACUGGGCGUAAAGGGCGCGUAGGCGGCGAUCAAAGUCAGGCGUGAAAUUCCUGGGCUCAACCUGGGGGCUGCGUUUGAUACUUGAUUGCUAGAGUGGGGAAGAGGGUCGUGGAAUUCCCAGUGUAGAGGUGAAAUUCGUAGAUAUUGGGAAGAACACCGGUGGCGAAGGCGGCGACCUGGUCCUUGACUGACGUUGAGGCGCGAAAGCGUGGGGAGCAAACAGGAUUAGAUACCCCGGUAGUCCCUGUCUCUUAUAC